rnacentral:rRNA from 1 species
AGUGAACGCUGGCGGUAGGCCUAACACAUGCAAGUCGAACGGCAGCACAGUAAGAGCUUGCUUUUACGGGUGGCGAGUGGCGGAUGGGUGCGGAAUACAUCGUAAUCUACUUUUUCGUGGGGGAUAACGUAGGGAAACCUACGCUAAUACCGCAUACGUCCUACGGGUGAAAGCAGUGGAUCUUCUGAUCUUGCGCGAAUCAAUGAUCCUAUGUCGGAUUAGCUAGUUGGCGGGGUAAAGGCCCACCAAGGCGACGAUCCGUAGCUGCUCUGAGAGGGUGAACAGCCAGACUGGAAGUGAGACACGGCCGAGACUCUGAAGGGAGGCAGCAGUGGGGAAUAUUGGACGAUGGGCGCAAGCCUGAUACAGCACUACCGCGUGGGUGAAGAAGGACUUCGGGUUGUAGAGCCAUUUUGUUGGGAAAGAAAAGCAGCAGGUUAAUACCCGAAUGUUCUGACGGUACCAAAAGAAUAAGCCCCGGCUAACUUCGUG